AUACACUUCCAGAUUCAGCUAAAAAAGAAGCACAACUUAUCCGCCAUGAAAACUAUCAGCGUUGCCCUGUUGGCGUUGGUGGCCCUCUUUGCCCUGAUGGAGGUCACUGGAGCCCUGCCAGCACCCGAACCUAGCCGACGCCACUUCUUUGGAGGUAGUCCCUAUGGCUUCGGCGGUUACGGCUAUAGACCCCACGGAUUCGGCUUUGGCUACGGUGGAUACGGCGGUGGUUUUGGAGGCUUUGGAGGUGGAUUUGGUGGAUAUGGUGGUGGUUUCUUCGGUUGAUAAACACCUUAUCUUCCAUGGAGGUCCCGGAAGUUGGAAUGUCAACGACCUACAUGAAAUGUUUAAUGUUAAAAAUAUUUAUGCAAAUGAAGCUAACAGAGUUAAUUUUUCUAUAAAUCAUAAUAAAUUUUGUGUUUCUUAGAAAAAAAA